GGCCGUUCCAACAUGCUGUCAAAAUUAAAUCAAUAUGGCUGCUGGAAGUAAAACAUAAAUGUUAUUCUAUAGGUUCUUAAUGUGUUUUAGAUGGUUUUAGAUCAUUUUUGUUGUGUUUCUUUGUAAUUUUGUGUUGUACAAAGAUUAAUUUAACAUUUUCUCUGGAAGUAUUAAUUUAGAAAGAUAAUAUGCUUCAUUGGUGUUGUGUUUUGAAGUGUGAAAUGCAAAAUAAUCCUGAUAAAGUCAAGAUAAAGUUCACUUUUAAACUGAACUAAAUACGGUAUCAGCUGAGAGACAACAAUGGUUAAAUGCAAUACAAUGUAAGGUUUUACUAGCGAAAUGAAAAUUCUCCUGUCCUGUCUGCUGUAAUCAUUUUAUAUCUGGAAAACCAGCCGACUUAAUCGAUAAUAACAAUCCAGAUUGGGUUCCUUCAAUAAAUAAUAUGGGCUAUAAACACAAUGAAAUAAGUUCCCCAAAAUCUAAAAUGAAAUGGUAUCAAAGGAGAAUUAAAAGAAAAAAUAUUCAUAUUGAAAUUAUUUAUAAGGCACUGGACUGUCUUAAAUUCUACAAAUACUAGAAUCAGCUGAGAGAAGUGGUGUACAAAAAAACUAGGAAGGGAAUGGAAUAUGUGGCUACGAAAGGCAAAAGAAAUGAAUACAAAGCAAAUGUGACACAUUUUUUUAAAAAUAUGUAGGAAUAUCAGUAAACUACAUUAAAAAUGUAUGAAAAGAUUUUGUGCAAUAAAAAUGUUUAUAUUUA
rnacentral:lncRNA from 1 species